rnacentral:rRNA from 1 species
AUUGAACGCUGGCGGCAUGCCUUACACAUGCAAGUCGAACGGUAACGGGCCUUCGGGUGCCGACGAGUGGCGAACGGGUGCGUAAUACAUCGGAACGUGCCCGAUCGUGGGGGAUAACGAGGCGAAAGCUUUGCUAAUACCGCAUACGAUCUACGGAUGAAAGCAGGGGACCGCAAGGCCUUGCGCGGACGGAGCGGCCGAUGGCAGAUUAGGUAGUUGGUGGGAUAAAAGCUUACCAAGCCGACGAUCUGUAGCUGGUCUGAGAGGAUGAUCAGCCACACUGGGACUGAGACACGGCCCAGACUCCUACGGGAGGCAGCAGUGGGGAAUUUUGGACAAUGGGCGCAAGCCUGAUCCAGCCAUGCCGCGUGCAGGAUGAAGGCCUUCGGGUUGUAAACUGCUUUUGUACGGAACGAAAAGCCUUCUUUUAAUACAGGAGGGUCAUGACGGUACCGUAAGAGUAAGCACCGGCUAACUACGUG